GAUGAACGCUGGCGGCGUGCUUAACACAUGCAAGUCGAACGGAAAGGCCCAAGCUUGCUUGGGUACUCGAGUGGCGAACGGGUGAGUAACACGUGGGUGAUCUGCCCUGCACUUCGGGAUAAGCCUGGGAAACUGGGUCUAAUACCGGAUAGGACCACUUCUUGGAUGUUGUGGUGGAAAGUUUUUUCGGUGUGGGAUGAGCUCGCGGCCUAUCAGCUUGUUGGUGGGGUAAUGGCCUACCAAGGCGUCGACGGGUAGCCGGCCUGAGAGGGUGUACGGCCACAUUGGGACUGAGAGACGGCCCAGACUCCUACGGGAGGCAGCAGUGGGGAAUAUUGCACAAUGGGCGCAAGCCUGAUGCAGCGACGCCGCGUGGGGGAUGACGGCCUUCGGGUUGUAAACUCCUGUCGCUAGGGACGAAGCGUUUUUGUGACGGUACCUGGAGAAGAAGCACCGGCUAACUACGUG
rnacentral:rRNA from 1 species